AUGGAUUCUGGUGUGAACAAGAGCGUGUGAAAGGGACGGAGUCAUUUCAAAUUGAACAUUUAAGUGAGAGCGUGAUACAACGUAUAGAGAAACUAGCACAUGGGCAAGAUUUGUCCCACAACAGCAAAAAAUAUAAAAUGUUUUUGUAUGCAUGUGUUUGCUCUCAUUUUUGCUUGUUAAUGUCUCUUUAAGACUCAAUCACUCAGAGUAAGUCUCUUUCUAAUAACUCACUCGAGACCUAUAGCUAAGCCUCGGCACAAGACCCAUU